AUGAAUAGUAAGAAAAAUGUGAAUAUUGCCCAGUGGAUAAGGUAUCCUACGAGGUAUUGAAGAAGCAAAUAAGAACAUUGGGUGGUGGAUGAUUAAAAUAUUAUUUUUUAAUAAAAAAGUAAAUUUUUUUGGCUAUAAAUAGUCGAGGGGGGAAGAAAGAUUCUACAUAAGAAGGAGAGAAAAUAAGAAAGAAAGAGAGAAAGGGAGAGAAGGAAAGAAUUAGGAAGAAAUUUUGGUUGUAAAGAGAGUAGAGAUUCUGGAGGAUUUUUGGGGGAACAACUUCUGAGUAGGAAACUAAGUCUGGAAAUGGGAUAAGGAGAGCUAAGCUUCCUAAGUUUUUAUAUUAUGAUAAAAUAUUUUUGUAUAUUUAUUCAUGUCUUGAAAUUCUAUGCAAUUACUGUUAAUGAAAAACCUAUGUGAUUGUUGUAAACUAUUUGAAUUUCUAUGUUAAUAUUAUAU
rnacentral:lncRNA from 1 species